AGCGAACGCUGGCGCCAGGCCUAACACAUGCAAGUCGAACGGCAGCACAGUAAGAGCUUGCUCUUACGGGUGGCGAGUGGCGGACGGGUGAGGCAUACAUCGGAAUCUACUCUUUCGAGGGGGGUCACGUAGGGCAACUUACGCUAAUACCGCAUACGACCUACGGCUGCAAGCAGGGGAUCUUCGGACCUUGCGCGAUUGAAUGAGACGAUGUCGGAUUCGCUAGUUGGCGGGGUAAUGGCCCACCAAGGCGACGCUCCGUAGCUGGUCUGAGCGGAUGAUUCGCCACACUGGAACUGAGACACGGCCCAGACUCCUACGGGAGGCAGCAGUGGGGAAUAUUGGGCAAGGGGGGAAAGCCGGAUACAGCCAUACCGGGUGGGUGAAGAAGGCGUUAGGGUGGUAAAGUCCUGUAGUUGGGAAAGAAGAGAAGCAGGUUAAUCCCGCGCGGUUGUGACGGUACCCAAAGAAGAAGCACCGGCCAACUUCGUG
rnacentral:rRNA from 1 species